rnacentral:rRNA from 1 species
UACGUAGGGUGCAAGCGUUGUCCGGAAUUAUUGGGCGUAAGGAGCUCGUAGGCGGUUUGUCACGUCGGCUGUGAAAACCCGAGGCUCAACCUCGGGCCUGCAGUCGAUACGGGCAGACUAGAGUAUGGCAGGGGAGACUGGAAUUCCUGGUGUAGCGGUGAAAUGCGCAGAUAUCAGGAGGAACACCGGUGGCGAAGGCGGGUCUCUGGGCCAUAACUGACGCUGAGGAGCGAAAGCGUGGGGAGCAAACAGG